rnacentral:misc_RNA from 1 species
GAUGAAGAACGCAGCGAAAUGCGAUAAGUAAUGCGAAUUGCAGAAUCCCAGUGAGUCAUCGAAUCUUUGAACGCACAUUGCGCCCUUUGGUAUUCCGAAGGGCAUGCCUGUUCGAGCGUCAUUAUCACCCCUCAAGCCCUCGGCUUGGUGUUGGACGGUUUGGUGGAGGCCCCCUCGGGGGCUCCUGCCCCUCCCAAAGACAAUGACGGCGGCCUCGUUGGACCCCCGGUACACUGAGUUCUUCACGGGACGCGUAUCGGACACAUGGGUUUACGGGACACGGUCUGCCUCCCCUCAGGGAGAAUCUUUCUAAGGUUGACCUCGGAUCAGGUAGGGAUACCCGCUGAACUUAAGCAUAUCAAUAAGCGGAGGA